GAGAGAGGACAUCCGACUUCCUCAUCCAUAUAGUACAAACUGCACAGAUUAUUUAAGUCUUUGGAAUGAAAACAACGGCACUGGGCCGUUAAACAAAAAAGAAUGCAUCGAGUACUGCAAAUUACAAAGGUGGAAAUCGCUAGGUCGUUGCAUUAAAACGGACAUAUGGUAUGCUCCUCAUACGGAGCAAUUGUGCUCUCCAGGUAAUAAGGCCUUAUUUCUUCCUUCUGAAAAAAAUAAAUAUUGCAACAGAAAAUGUCAGCCAGCAUGCCGGUAAGUAACAUAGCAGAAAGCUAUUUCAAUAAGCGCUAUAUUUUUAUGAUUAAUUUUUAGGUCGGUCAUAGUUUUCACUUAAGUCUUCAGUUGCACUUAAUAGUUAUUAUUUUGAACAUAAGACAAUGUGUGAUAGUUGAA